rnacentral:tRNA from 1 species
AUAAAAAGUGUCCAGGGGCGGGAAUCGAACCCACACCAUUCUGCUUACCGGGCAGGUGCCUUGUCCACUCGCCAUUACUCUUCA